CUACAAAAUGCUCUGCUGAGAGAGAAGAGAAACCAAUCCAAAUAACUCAACGCCGGCAUUGUUUCCCCUCUCUCUCUCUCUCUCUCUCUCUUCUCCACUCAAAGAGUGACCUUAACCAAGUUCCCUAGAAACUACAACACAGAACCCUAAAUUUUAGAAGCACAAUCUCUCCGGCUCUCUCAAUACGCACAUGAGUCCACAAAAAUAUCUCGCUCUCAAAUAGGAAUGGAAGGAAACGGCAAAGAAAACAUAGAGAGGGAGAGAGAGGAAAGAAAAAUAAAAAAGAGAGAGAGAGCUUAUUUUUAUAUUUGGAA
rnacentral:misc_RNA from 1 species